AUUGAACGCUGGCGGCAGGCUUAACACAUGCCAGUCGAGCGGAGCGGCGGACGGGGGCGUAAGGCCUAGGAAUCUGCCUGGUAGUGGGGGAUACCGUCCGGAAACGGACGAUUAUACUGCAUCCUCUCAGUUUAGCAUCGGUCGGAUUAGCUAGUUGGUGGGGUAAAGGCCUACCCAGGCCACGAUCAGUACCUGGUCUGAGAGGAUGAUCAGUCACACUGGAACGUAGACACGGUCCAGACUCCUACGGUAGGCAGCAGUGGGGAAUAUUGGACAAUGGGGGAAAGCCUGAGCCAGCCAUGCCGCGUGUGUGAAGAAGGUCGUCGGAUUGUAAAGCACUUUAAGUUGGGAGGCGGUACCAACAGAAUAAGCACCGGCUAACUUCGUGCCAGCCGCCGCGGUAAUAC
rnacentral:rRNA from 1 species